UGAGGAAUAUUGCACAAUGGGGGGAACCCUGAUGCAGCAACGCCGCGUGGGCGAAGAAGGCCUUCGGGUUGUAAAGCCCUUUUCUGUGGGAUGAGCAAGGACAGUACCACAGGAAUAAGUCUCGGCUAACUACGUGCCAGCAGCCGCGGUAAAACGUAGGAGGCGAGCGUUAUCCGGAUUCAUUGGGCGUAAAGGGCAAGUAGGCGGUGGGAAAAGUUGGGCGUGACAGGUCUCGGCUUAACUGAGAAAGGUCGUCCAAAACUAUCCGACUAGAGGGCAGGAGAGGGAAGUGGAAUUCCUCGUGUAGCGGUGGAAUGCUCAGAUAUGAGGAGGAACACCAGUGGCGAAAGCGACUUCCUGGCCUGCACCUGACGCUGAGAGGCGAAAGCUAGGGGAGCGAACGGG
rnacentral:rRNA from 1 species